GUGAGGAAUAUUGGUCAAUGGGCGAGAGCCUGAACCAGCCAAGUCGCGUGAAGGAUGAAGGUUUUAUGAAUUGUAAACUUCUUUUGCAGGGGAAUAAAGUACGGUACGUGUACCGUUUUGUAUGUACUCUGCGAAUAGGGAUCGGCUAACUCCGUGCCAGUAGCCGCGGUAAUACGGAGGAUCCAAGCGUUAUCCGGAUUUAUUGGGUUUAAAGGGUGCGCAGGCGGGUUGAUAAGUCAGCGGUGAAAGUUUGCAGCUUAACUGUAAAAUUGCCGUUGAAACUGUCGAUCUUGAGUGCAAAUGAGGUAAGCGGAAUGUGUUGUGUAGCGGUGAAAUGCUUAGAUAUAACACAGAACACCGAUUGCGAAGGCAGCUUACUGGGAUGCAACUGACGCUCAUGCACGAAAGCGUGGGGAUCAAACAGGAUUAGAAACCCGGGUAGUCC
rnacentral:rRNA from 1 species